UACGUAGGGCGCAAGCGUUGUCCGGAAUUAUUGGGCGUAAAGAGCUCGUAGGUGGCUUGUCACGUCGGGAGUGAAAAGCUGGGGCUUAACCCCAGUCCUGCUUCCGAUACGGGUGGACUAGAGGUAGGCAGGGGAGAACGGAAUUCCUGGUGUAGCGGUGAAAUGCGCAGAUAUCAGGAGGAACACCGGUGGCGAAGGCGGCUCACUGGACUGGUAUUGACGCUGAGGUGCGAAAGCGUGGGGAGCAAACAGG
rnacentral:rRNA from 1 species